GUGCCUGCAGCCGCGGUAAUACGGAGGGGGUUAGCGUUGUUCGGAAUUACUGGGCGUAAAGCGCACGUAGGCGGGUCAGAAAGUUGGAGGUGAAAUCCCGGGGCUCAACCCCGGAACUGCCUCCAAAACUACUGGUCUAGAGUUCGAGAGAGGUGAGUGGAAUUCCGAGUGUAGAGGUGAAAUUCGUAGAUAUUCGGAGGAACACCAGUGGCGAAGGCGGCUCACUGGCUCGAUACUGACGCUGAGGUGCGAAAGUGUGGGGAGCAAACAGGAUUAGAUACCCGGGUAGUCC
rnacentral:rRNA from 1 species